GUUUCUGUAGAGCAAUGAAUAGCGCGUUGGACUUCAAAUCCAAAGAUCUAAAUUCGAAUCUCAACUGAGAUG